GAAGUUGGUUGGACAGUCGCCGCGGAAUUCGUUCCGGGGAGGAAAGUCCGGGCUCCACAGAGCAGGAUGCCGGCUAACGGCCGGAGGUCGCGAGGCCAUGGAAAGUGAUACAGAGACUUAAACCGCCCAAGCAUCCGGAAGGAUGACGGCAAGGGUGAAAAGGUGCGGUAAGAGCGCACCGCGGAGGCGGCAACGCUGACGGCAAGUUAAACCCCAUCCGGAGCAAG
rnacentral:RNase_P_RNA from 1 species